rnacentral:rRNA from 1 species
UACGUAGGGUGCAAGCGUUAAUCGGAAUUACUGGGCGUAAAGCGUGCGCAGGCGGUUGUGCAAGUCCGAUGUGAAAUCCCCGGGCUUAACCUGGGAACUGCAUUUGUGACUGCACGGCUGGAGUGCGGCAGAGGGGGAUGGAAUUCCGCGUGUAGCAGUGAAAUGCGUAGAUAUGCGGAGGAACACCGAUGGCGAAGGCAAUCCCCUGGGCCUGCACUGACGCUCAUGCACGAAAGCGUGGGGAGCAAACAGG